ACACAGGAAGGGAGGUGGUCCAAAGAAUGAUUUCUUAUCGGACAUGUGAGGUGGCUCGCCGCUGAGGCGACCAUCGACCUGACCCGCCGUCGGCGGGCCCCAGAUCGACGGACGUGCAGCGAAUACCACCGAGCUGCCGGGACCCGCAGGGGUCGGACACCGUCCAUCCGACCAGCGCAGAUGCGCAACCUGCGGGUCCUUCCCUG
rnacentral:sRNA from 1 species